CCGGAAUUUSWCASAYGGWUSCUGCUUCGGGACUSWGASACAGGUGCUGCAUGGUGUCGUCAGCUCGUGUYGUGAGAUGUUGGGUUAAGUCCCGYAACGAGCGCAACCCUUGUCCUUAUUUACCAGCACGUAAUGGUGGGCACUCUAAGGAGACUGCCGGUGACAAACCGGGGRAAGGUGGGGAUGACGUCAAGUCWUCWUGGCCCUUACGGCCAGGGCUACACACGUGCUACAAUGGUUGGUACAACGGGCUGCCAAGUCGCGAGACGRAGCUAAUCCCAUAAAACCAAUCGUAGUCCGGAUCGCAGUCUGCAACUCGACUGCGUGAAGUCGGAAUCGCUAGUAAUCGUGGAUCARAAUGCCGCGGUGAAUACGUUCCCGGGUCUUGUACACMCCGA
rnacentral:rRNA from 1 species